rnacentral:rRNA from 1 species
GACGUAGGUGGCGAACGUUAUCCGGAAUCAUUGGGCGUAAAGGGUGCGUAGAUGGCCUGAUAAGUUAUUAGUGGGAAAUCGAGGCUCAACCUCGUGGAAGCUGGUAAUACUGUUUUGCUUGAGUGCAGGAGAGGUUAACGGAACUCCAUGUGGAGCGGUAAAAUGCGUAGAUAUAUGGAAGAACACCGGUGGCGAAGGCGGCCCACUGGUCCGGUACUGACGCUGAGGUGCGAAAGCGUGGGGAGCAAACAGG